rnacentral:rRNA from 1 species
GACGGAGGGUGCAAGCGUUGUUCGGAAUUACUGGGCGUAAAGCGCACGUAGGCGGUGAUGCAUGUCAGAUGUGAAAGCCCCGGGCUUAACCUGGGAAUUGCGCUUGUGACUGGCAGACUGGAGUGUGGCAGAGGGAGGUGGAAUUCCACGUGUAGCAGUGAAAUGCGUAGAGAUGUGGAGGAACACCGAUGGCGAAGGCAGCCUCCUGGGCCAGCACUGACGCUCAUGCACGAAAGCGUGGGGAGCAAACAGG